rnacentral:rRNA from 1 species
CAGUAGCCGCGGGAAUACGAAGGGGGCUAGCGUUGUUCGGAUUUACUGGGCGUAAAGGGUGCGUAGGCGGAUUGUUAAGUCAGGGGUGAAAUCCCGAGGCUCAACCUCGGAACUGCCUUUGAUACUGGCGAUCUUGAGUCCGGGAGAGGUGAGUAGAACUGCGAGUGUAGAGGUGAAAUUCGUAGAUAUUCGCAAGAACACCGGUGGCGAAGGCGGCUCACUGGCCCGGUACUGACGCUGAGGCACGAAAGCGUGGGGAGCAAACAGGAUUAGAUACCCGGGUAGUCCCUGUCUCUUAUAC